GGGUUGUGAGGUUAAGCGACUAAGCGUACACGGUGGAUGCCCUGGCAGUCAGAGGCGAUGAAGGACGUGCUAAUCUGCGAUAAGCGUCGGUAAGGUGAUAUGAACCGUUAUAACCGGCGAUUUCCGAAUGGGGAAACCCAGUGUGAUUCGUCACACUAUCAUUAACUGAAUCCAUAGGUUAAUGAGGCGAACCGGGGGAACUGAAACAUCUAAGUACCCCGAGGAAAAGAAAUCAACCGAGAUUCCCCCAGUAGCGGCGAGCGAACGGGGAGCAGCCCAGAGCCUGAAUCAGUGUGUGUGUUAGUGGAAGCGUCUGGAAAGGCGCGCGAUACAGGGUGACAGCCCCGUACACAAAAAUGCACAUACUGUGAGCUCGAUGAGUAGGGCGGGACACGUGGUAUCCUGUCUGAAUAUGGGGGGACCAUCCUCCAAGGCUAAAUACUCCUGACUGACCGAUAGUGAACCAGUACCGUGAGGGAAAGGCGAAAAGAACCCCGGCGAGGGGAGUGAAAAAGAACCUGAAACCGUGUACGUACAAGCAGUGGGAGCCUCUUUAUGGGGUGACUGCGUACCUUUUGUAUAAUGGGUCAGCGACUUAUAUUCUGUAGCAAGGUUAACCGAAUAGGGGAGCCGAAGGGAAACCGAGUCUUAACUGGGCGUUAAGUUGCAGGGUAUAGACCCGAAACCCGGUGAUCUAGCCAUGGGCAGGUUGAAGGUUGGGUAACACUAACUGGAGGACCGAACCGACUAAUGUUGAAAAAUUAGCGGAUGACUUGUGGCUGGGGGUGAAAGGCCAAUCAAACCGGGAGAUAGCUGGUUCUCCCCGAAAGCUAUUUAGGUAGCGCCUCGUGAAUUCAUCUCCGGGGGUAGAGCACUGUUUCGGCAAGGGGGUCAUCCCGACUUACCAACCCGAUGCAAACUGCGAAUACCGGAGAAUGUUAUCACGGGAGACACAC
rnacentral:rRNA from 1 species